AUUGUGCUCAUUUUAAAGACAGGAACAGGAUGGCCUCCUGCCCGAAGACUUUCUCUGCAGCCAGGCCCGGGGCAGGAGGGUCAGCUGGGCAGCAUCCGGGCCCGCGGAUUCCUGCAAGGUCGCGAGGACCAGAAGUGCUGCCGCCAGGACAUGGUCCCAGGAGAGAGCUCCCACGCAGAAUAUUAGAAUUACAGCCCCGGCCAUUGAGGUGGAUGAAAGCUGAGCCUUGCUGCGCCAACUUGAGUCUCGUUCACCCUGAGCAGUCACAGAUGGGUCUUGUCUUUUCAGAUGCUCCACGAGGCCAUUGUCACAAUUCCAAGAGCCUGCUGGAUAACCCUGUGAGUGUGUCCAGAAACCUCAAAAUCAUUUUUGGAGACACUGCAGCAGAUUUGGUUUUUCUCAGAGCACUUCUGCAGCUGCUGAAUGCUUGCAGGCACAGGGGUCUCCUGCUUUUCAGACUUUUCCACUACUCCCUUUUCUCAAAGGUGACUGUGGAACAACGAGAUGGAUUGAUGUCCUGGAAAGUGAUGAGGGAGAUCGGGGCCCAGCUUCACACAUCGCAGCCAAUGUCCUCCACUCUGACCUGGAGGGCACCACCUUGCAGUGUGAGGGGCCUCAGGCGCCACAUCCAUUAACUCCUUGGCUUCUCGUUUGAAACUGACAAUGAGGUGACAUGGGCAACUGUCCACAUGGAACAGGACAGAGACCAUCAACUCAUUCCACAUGGGCUACCAGACAGCACCUAGAGGUAAUAACAUUCUGUCAAUAGUGACCUGGGUUGGAUUCAAAUCAGUGAUUUAGGGGUGAAAGGCUCUGGAUUCUAUUAUGAAGUGCCCUUAGCUAUCUAAGGGCUGAAAAACCAUUCCUUUACCACAGUUAAUGAUAGAAUCUAAAAAGUCAGUCUAGUUUUUUUCCUUCUAUUCUCCUUUAAAAAUUGAAUACAACUUUGGAUGAUCUAGGAAUGACUCAGCCAGUAGAACAUGGUGGAGAAUAUUAGUGAAUAUGCUUCAAUUCAACUAAGUAUACUGUGUGGAUGUCCAUAACACACAUCCACAUUGCUUUUUUCCUUCCUUUUUCCCCUUCUUCCUUCUUUCCUGCUUUUCUUCCUUAGCAUAGAGUUUUCUGAACUGAAUAUAGGUACAGGUUGUUAUUAGAAUCAACUUUUUUUAAAUUAAGGCCAAAUUAAUGACUCUCCAACAAGACAAACCUCUGUUUUCAGGGGCUUACUAUAGGCUCACCAAGAAUAAGGUGACUAUUCCAUAUAGUCAGGCUAAUAGAAGAGACAGUACUUCCAUGUCGGGGUCCCAAAGAUGUUUGGCUCAACCCAGGGUGGGAGAGUUAGACAAACCCUAAACCUGUGGGGUGAAAGCAAAGAGACCAUUCCCCACAUCUGUGUGUUUAUACCAUUAGCUAGAAUGAAAUGUGUGCUUUUCAAACAAAAUGCUUCCUAAAGGUCAUGGGGUCCAUUUUUCUUCCACCAGUUUGCUUUUCUUUCUUCUACUCUGCCUGUUUGAAUCUUAACCUUGUAACUAAUGACAUGGUCUUGGAAAUAAAUGAACAAUUCAGCUAGGACUACUUGGAAAUUAAGAUAAGAUAACUAGAAAAGCUGUGGUUCUCUCUUAGAGACCAGAAACUAGAAUGGCGAUAAUAUUUUAAACUGUUCAUUAGGGCUUUGUAUCUCUUUGUUCUUCAACUGUACAAUCCCUUUAAUACGAAGAUUUGAAAGUCUUUCUGAGACAGGCUUCCACUGCCUUCUGCAAGGUGCUGUGCGGUAAAUAGAUGGUAAUAAACACCCUUACUUUUCUGAUGAAUUUGAUGGAGUUGGGGUGAAAGCUUGCUCUCACUCUCAGCUCUUCAUCCUCCUUAUUUCUCCAGGAUCAUGUUUUCAUAGGGCUCCCUGAUCAAAUACUAUGCUCAAGAUAAUUUCUAAGUCAGCCCUCUUUGUGGCUGAAAACCUUCAGCCAUGAGGGAAUAGUCCUGGGGGCACAGCACUGAGCAGAGAAAUUAGCAGCCUCCAACAGGGAAGGAUGUUUAGGGGUGUCAGAAAGGCUCAUAUGAUCCUACAUCCAUCCAUGAUCAAGGCCUGAAAUUCUGUGUAGAACUUCAUCCUUUAAUAUUAAUCCCUAUUACAAUAUAGCUGAACCCAAGAGGACUGUCAUAUAUUUUAGUGUGAAUGGUCUAACAGGACACAACUGAGGGAGUGGGAAUGGGGGUGGGGAAGGAGUAGACAACGAAUGAAGGAACUCAUCUGGACACCAGCUGAAAAGAGGGGGCAGAGGAUAAAAUCUCUGGAAACCUCUUUGGCCAAAGAGAAAUGUUACCUACUUUGCAGUUUUGCCCAAAUAGGCUUAAGGUCAAUUGGCCCUGGCCUCAUGGUCUGGCACACUAGUGUUUUAUGGUUCUCAAGCUACUGCAUAGGUACUUGUGGAACACUCCACUGGGUUUCUCUGUCUACUGAUUUAACCUAGUUAACAAAGUAUUUUACAUGUGAAAUGCUUGGCUAAAACAGCUCUGUCUGCAAAUGUGUAAAGAUAUUUCAAAGAGCUGAGAAAGACUGAACAGCAGCACUCAGAGAAGCCCUUGAAUAAUAAAGCAUGGCUGUUAUUUUGGCAGAGACUGGAGAGAAGGCAUUUGUGGUUGGAAGCUGUUUGUAGAUGGGAAUCCACGGAGGCCAUUUGUGUAAGACAAACCUAGAGUGGGGUGCAUACCCUUUCCAUCCUUUGCUCACUCUCCCUUUCCCUCAUUUAUAUAGUGUGCAUAAUUCACAAAGCAUACACAUUCAUUAUUUUAUCUGAGCUACAUAGCUUCUGUAUAGAAAAAUCUGGAGAGAUUUAAGAAACAAAUAAACAUUCCUUCUUGCUUUGUUCAUCCCACAAAGAGACCUGAUCUAUCUGUUCAGAGCCAAAUGGAUGUAAUUAGGUGAAGAAUCGCUUUCUCUGUAUCUGAGCAAAUAUGUUUUGCAGUGCACCAAUUUCUCAAGGGCAGUGGGCUGGGACGGCCAGUGACUGCUGGGGGAUGGCUGCUGACCUUCAGGCCAGGCCGACUUUAAUUUGCAGAACACUGCUGGUCCCAGGAGGCUCUUCAGGCCAGGCCACACAAUCAACCUGAACCAGCAGCCUGCUGCUGCCCAGCUGCACCCACCACCCUGCAGGACAUGAAGAUGUAGCUAACUAGACAUAGCUGCUGCACAGACUUUGGAAUUAUGAAUUGAGAAAUUAAGCAUCAUCAGAAUUCAGCCCUUUAUACAGCAACCAAGAAGCCUUGUUGUCUCAGUGGUGCCUCUUUCCAACUGCAUUAUUUAACAGGAGAGUCUCUGUAGAUGUUGCAUCUACAUUCCAAGUUUUGAUUUCAUAUCCUGUGUGCUUAUUUCAAAAAGUGAUGCUUAAAGGGAACAUGGCAAUUAGAUCUAAAUUAUGUGAAUGGCCUGAAAAAGAAAUACUGGCUUAAAGCAAUGAUGUUUAUCUGGGGUCGCAAAAUUUUUGGAUAUGGGAGACUCCUGCCAUCUCUAGAUGAGAAAGGAACUGAAAUGUUUCCUAGCUGAUCUGAUUAUCACAGUCAACUUAAUGACCUGGUCGGGCUGCCACAUGAUCAGUCCAGUUGAUUGCUGCGUAAUCGAUCGAAAUGAUAAAAAAAAAAAAAAAGCAGACUGAGUGGGCAGAGACGAAUUCAGUUAUGGCACCCAGACACUGCCUUUGUGUGUACACUUCCGUGUGUGUGUGUGUGUGUGUGUGUGUGUGUGUUUGCUUGCAUGUGAAAAAGUGUGUGUAUUCUGGUGCUAAAAUGUUCUCAACUCAGAAAAAUGAAAGACAGACAGCAAUUGAAGACAGUUAAAGCUUGUGUGCCAAUUUAAGCCACAUAAUAUUCAGAGAACCUAAAUGUCAGGGAUAAAAAACUGUAAUUGUUGCUAUUACAUAUGGGCAAUUGGAUUAAAUGUCAAUAAAAUGGUAACCACCA